rnacentral:tRNA from 1 species
GCCUCCGUAGCCCAAUGGAUAAGGCAUCGGCCUCCUAAGCCGGGAAUUGCGGGUUCGAGUCCCGUCGGAGGUA